CGGGCUGUAGGAUAACGGUAGUCCGCUGCCUUGGGGUGGCAGUAGACCGGGUUCAACUCCCGGCAGCCCGA
rnacentral:tRNA from 1 species